CUGAGUGCAUUUCCUGCUGGAGCUACAGUCACCUGAGGAGAUUUCUCAUGCUGUGAAGCAGUAAAUCCUCCUUUCACCUGACAGAAUACAAAUUUAGCAGUUAAUAAUCCAGUGAAAUUCAGCAAGGAAAUAACUUUGUUGGAGAUAUGAAGUACUGAACCUGUUAAUUCUAAUGGCUGUACCCAUACGCUUUUCCCAUGCUCUUUCCCAAGGCCUCGGAAAGAAACAGAUCAUACUUCAUUGCAAGCUGCUAGUCAAAAUCUCUAUGGAAUAGCACAUGGGGCUGCAUCUGUCCUGUACUAACAACCCCAGAGAAAAACUUUCAUUAGAUCUUCCACAGGUGUAAGUGAAGUUUUCUAAUGAAACAAAGCCAUGCCAUGUUGUUUGGAUUUUACUGAGGAAAACAAGUGUUUAGACCUCUUUGGAGAAGUGACUGCAGUUAAGUAAUACAUGUAUCUAUCUAUAAAUAUAUAUGUAUAAUUUUAAUACAGAUCUGUGACAAUGUGUGUGGAAUAAAGCUUUUUAAAAAAAAAAAACUGUCAAACUAAACGUCCUCAGCAUUCUCACAAUUAAGUACAAGUAAAAUGUGUAUCUUACUGCUAGUAACAUGGCAACGUGUGGGAUACAUACAUGUAAAAAUCAUUCACUGCUGAAUAGUAUGACUGCACAGUUAGAAACUUGUGCUUAAACUGAGCUGAGGAUGCUUAUUCAUCCUUCCCUUGGUACUCAGGCAUGUGCAGACUAAUGUGUAAAACACUCUAAUAUUUUUUACAAAAAAUUUUAAAGUGCAGUUGUAGCAUUUCUUUUUAAUUUUCAUCACUGUUUAGAGUACUGCACUUUGGUUGAAUGAGAUUACCCAAGUUUUGGAAGGCAUAAGUCUGCUCUAGCUCUAACCACGUUAGAACAAACAAACUGAGCAGCAAAAGAGAUGUCCAAGCCUAUUUUUAAUCUCCCAACAGCUUUUCCAUAUCGCUCAUAAACAUGACAAAUUUGAGGACAGAAGCUAUUAGAAUUACACCACCACAGAAGGGAAGGAGUGGUCUGCAAUGCCCCAGGCUAAGAUUUCAAAGAUUGAGUAUUUGGAAAAUAAUAUAAGGUCAAACUAGCAA